GGUUAGACAUUAUUUCCAGCUGUGUCUGAGGGUGUUUCCAGUUGAGACAGGCAUUUAACUUAGCUGACUGAGAAAAGCAGACUGCCACCCUCCCCAAUGUGGGGGGACAUCACUCAGUCCAGUGAGGCUCUAAACAGAACAAAAACACCAAGGAAGAGAGAAUUCUCUGCCUCAGCCUGACUGUUGAGUUGGUAUAUUGGUCUUCUGCUCUUGGACUGGGACUUACACCAUUGGCACUCCUUCUCUGGCCCUGGAAUGGAACCACACCUCCAUCUUUCAUGGGUCUCCAGCUUGUAGACAGCAGACUGUAGGACUUCUCAGCCUCUAUAAUCAUACAUGAAUGCACAUAUCUGUACUACAAGAAGCAAAGGUGUUGUUGCUCUGCCAAUCAACAUCCAAUGCUGGUGCUGCAAAGGAACAAAGGAUGUACGAGAAAUUAUUAUGAUUAACAGCCAAGAAGCCUGAGAGAAUUCUGAAAACUAGAAGCAAAGGUGAAAAGGAAGCACAACAGGUGAACAAAAAUGUACAGAAAAUCCCACGUACAGAAGAGAAUGAAGACAUUCUCUGCUUCAAAACUUGCCAGUUUUGCCUACUUGUGAGUGCCGCUAAAGGCCUAUGAAACCCUUCCACUGUUGUGACACUAAUGUUGUACAGGGGCCUUAUAUCCAAAGUUCAACAACUGACAGUGAUUGCUCUGGACCAGGAUCUACAUCACCCCGCCUCAUGCAUGCCAAAAGUAUUCUCACAGACUCACACAACGAAGAAUGAAGGUAGGGUGGUGGACUGGGAAGAACAUCAA
rnacentral:antisense_RNA from 1 species